CGAACGCUGGCGGCGUGCUUAACACAUGCAAGUCGAACGCGAAAGGGACUUCGGUCCUGAGUAAAGUGGCGCACGGGUGAGUAACGCGUAGAUAACCUGUCUUCAUGUCUGGAAUAAUACGCCAAAGGGGGUACUAAUACCGGAUAUUCUUGCUUUUCAUAAGUUAUGCAAGCAAAGGUGGCCUCUGCAUAUGCUACUGCAUGAAGAGGGGUCUGCGUACCAUUAGCUAGUAGGUGGGGUAAUGGCCUACCUAGGCGACGAUGGUUAGCGGGUCUGAGAGGAUGAUCCGCCACACUGGCACUGGAACACGGGCCAGACUCCUACGGGAGGCAGCAGUGAGGAAUAUUGCGCAAUGGGGGAAACCCUGACGCAGCGACGCCGCGUGAGUGAGGAAGGCCUUCGGGUCGUAAAGCUCUGUCAAGAGGAAAGAAGUGUACAAUGGCUAAUACCUGUUGUAUUUGACGGUACCUCUAAAGGAAGCACCGGCUAACUCCGUGCCAGCCGCGGC
rnacentral:rRNA from 1 species